CGUUGCUCGGAAUCACUGGGCGUAAAGGGCGCGUAGGCGGCCGAUUAAGUCGGGGGUGAAAGCCUGUGGCUCAACCACAGAAUUGCCUUCGAUACUGGUUGGCUUGAGACCGGAAGAGGACAGCGGAACUGCGAGUGUAGAGGUGAAAUUCGUAGAUAUUCGCAAGAACACCAGUGGCGAAGGCGGCUGUCUGGUCCGGUUCUGACGCUGAGGCGCGAAAGCGUGGGGAGCAAUCAGG
rnacentral:rRNA from 1 species